rnacentral:rRNA from 1 species
CCUACGGGAGGCAGCAGUGAGGAAUAUUGGUCAAUGGCCGUAAGGCUGAACCAGCCAAGUCGCGUGAAGGAAGAAGGAUCUAUGGUUUGUAAACUUCUUUUAUAGGGGAAUAAAGGUAUCCACGGGUGGAUAUUUGCAUGUACCCUAUGAAUAAGCAUCGGCUAACUCCGUGCCAGCAGCCGCGGUAAUACGGAGGAUGCGAGCGUUAUCCGGAUUUAUUGGGUUUAAAGGGUGCGUAGGUUGUUUUUUAAGUCAGCGGUGAAAGUUUGUGGCUCAACCAUAAAAUUGCCGUUGAAACUGGAAGUCUUGAGUGUGUUUGAGGUAGGCGGAAUGCGUGGUGUAGCGGUGAAAUGCAUAGAUAUCACGCAGAACUCCGAUUGCGAAGGCAGCUUACUAAGCCAUAACUGACACUGAAGCACGAAAGCGUGGGGAUCAAACAGGAUUAGAUACCCUAGUAGUC